UCCCGUUUAGCUCAGUUGGUAGAGCGCGUCACUAGUAUUUUCGGGCUAUGACGAGGUCAGUCGUUCGAGUCGGCUAAUGGGAA